rnacentral:rRNA from 1 species
GAUGAACGCUGGCGGCGUGCCUAAUACAUGCAAGUCGAGCGAACGGACGAGAAGCUUGCUUCUCUGAUGUUAGCGGCGGACGGGUGAGUAACACGUGGAUAACCUACCUAUAAGACUGGGAUAACUUCGGGAAACCGGAGCUAAUACCGGAUAAUAUUUUGAACCGCAUGGUUCAAAAGUGAAAGACGGUCUUGCUGUCACUUAUAGAUGGAUCCGCGCUGCAUUAGCUAGUUGGUAAGGUAACGGCUUACCAAGGCAACGAUGCAUGGCCGACCUGAGAGGGGGAUCGGCCACACUGGAACUGAGACACGGUCCAGAAUCCUACGGGAGGCAGCAGUAGGGAAUCUUCCGCAAUGGGCGAAAGCCUGACGGAGCAACGCCGCGUGAGUGAUGAAGGUCUUCGGAUCGUAAAACUCUGUUAUUAGGGAAGAACAGAUGUGUAAGUAACUGUGCACAUCUUGACGGUACCUAAUCAGAAAGCCACGGCUAACUACGU